rnacentral:lncRNA from 1 species
AGGCUCCUAUCUGUAUUUUCAAGGAAAAGUCUUCUCAACAGAAACAAGAGAGAUGGUUUUUCACUCUGUUGUCCAGGCUGGCACGACCUCGGCUCACUGCAACCUCCACCUCCAGGGUACAAGCGAUUCUCCUGCCUCAGCCUCUGGAGUAGCUGGGAUUACAGGAAUGAGGAGAGAUGGCCUUGGUGGUCCUCCUUAGGUUGGCAACAUCCAGAUGCAAUUGUUCACAUACCAGCUUCUCAUAGCGCUACCAAAAGUCUUCAACUCUUGUGGUAAUUGGGCCUCUCAUGCCAAGAACCAGGAAGAGGCACAAAAUUCCUCACUGAGAUACGGUGUGUUCUACUUCCAUGACUUCCACACACCAUUCUUAGAAAUAGGAGGUGAGCAUGAACAGAAGGAAAAGGAAAAAUAUCAUUCAUGUCUGACCUACAUUGUUU